rnacentral:rRNA from 1 species
UACGUAGGGCGCAAGCGUUGUCCGGAAUUAUUGGGCGUAAAGAGCUCGUAGGCGGUUUGUCGCGUCUGCUGUGAAAACCUAAGGCUCAACCUUGGGCUUGCAGUGGGUACGGGCAGACUAGAGUGCGGUAGGGGUGACUGGAAUUCCUGGUGUAGCGGUGGAAUGCGCAGAUAUCAGGAGGAACACCGGUGGCGAAGGCGGGUCUCUGGGCCGAUACUGACGCUGGAGACGCGAAAGCGUGGGGAGCAAACAGG